rnacentral:rRNA from 1 species
UGGCGAACGGGUGAGUAAUAUAUCGGAACGUACCCAAGAGUGGGGGAUAACGUAGCGAAAGUUACGCUAAUACCGCAUACGAUCUAAGGAUGAAAGUGGGGGAUCGCAAGACCUCAUGCUCCUGGGGCGGCCGAUAUCUGAUUAGCUAGUUGGUGAGGUAAAGGCUCACCAAGGCGACGAUCAGUAGCUGGUCUGAGAGGACGACCAGCCACACUGGAACUGAGGCACGGUCCAGACUCCUACGGGAGGCAGCAGUGGGGAAUUUUGGACAAUGGGCGCAAGCCUGAUCCAGCAAUGCCGCGUGAGUGAAGAAGGCCUUCGGGUUGUAAAGCUCUUUUGUCAGGGAAGAAACGGCCUGGGUUAAUACCUUGGGCUAAUGACGGUACCUGAAGAAUAAGCACCGGCUAACUACGUGCCAGCAGCCGCGGUAAUACGUAGGGUGCAAGCGUUAAUCGGAAUUACUGGGCGUAAAGCGUGCGCAGGCGGUUUUGUAAGUCUGUCGUGAAAGCCCCGGGCUCAACCUGGGAAUUGCGAUGGAGACUGCAAGGCUUGAAUCUGGCAGAGGGGGGUAGAAUUCCACGUGUAGCAGUGAAAUGCGUAGAGAUGUGGAGGAACACCGAUGGCGAAGGCAGCCCCCUGGGUCAAGAUUGACGCUCAUGCACGAAAGCGUGGGGAGCAAACAGGAUUAGAUACCCUGGUAGUCCACGCCCUAAACGAUGUCUACUAGUUGUCGGGUUUUAAUUAACUUGGUAACGCAGCUAACGCGUGAAGUAGACCGCCUGGGGAGUACGGUCGCAAGAUUAAAACUCAAAGGAAUUGAC